rnacentral:rRNA from 1 species
AAUGAACGCUGGCGGCGUGCUUAAGGCAUGCAAGUCGUACGAGAAAGUGGCUUCGGUCACGAGUAAAGUGGCGCACGGGUGAGUAAUACUUAGGUGACGUACCUUUUUGCUGGGGAUAACUAGGCGAAAGCUUAGCUAAUACCGAAUGAUGGGGUUGUUUCAAAAUUUCUGACGAAAUUUUCGAUUUCUUUGGUUGGUGGAGCGCCCUCUGGGGCCUCCACCAACGGCCAUUUAUCGAGAAUUUGCAGUGAUUUUGAGACAAUCCCUAAAGCCGUAAGGCGCGAAAAGAGCGGCCUAAGUCCUAUUAGCUAGUUGGUAAGGUAAUGGCUUACCAAGGCUUCGAUGGGUAGCUGGUCUGAGAGGAUGAUCAGCCACACUGGUACUGGAACACGGACCAGACUCCUACGGGAGGCAGCAGCUAGGAAUCUUGCGCAA